rnacentral:lncRNA from 13 species
GUGCAGUCUAGUUGAGGCAAUUGAAUGUAGUGGUCAUGGUCAGUGGUAAUGGUGUAAUACUUUGCAAGUGCCAUGUCCUUAUAUGUAAUAUUUUUACAUUGAAUUGGAGUAUUUUGCAUAAUAUCAGAUCUCCGUGGAUAAAAAAAACCUCAGGAAAUUGUGGAAUAAUAUUGCCAAACAUUGGUAAAUUAGAACUUCUGGUACAACGACUACUACCAAGGUCGUAGAGUAUAAAGGAAAUUGUGGAAUAAUAUUGCCAAACAUUGGAAACAAUACGAGAGCAAACAUUUCAUAUUUUAUUGUUGACAGACCUCGCAUAUUUUAUUUUCUUAUAUUCUAUAUAAGUUCUCUCGAAGAGGUGUAUGGACGGUUCGUUUUAUGAACAUAUAUAAAAUAUGUUAGAUCCCAUACAGCACAGAGAGAUUGCAGGAACAUUGCAGAAUGAUUGCAUUGAA